GACGAACGCUGGCGGCGUGCUUAACACAUGCAAGUCGAACGGAAAGGCCCUGCUUUUGUGGGGUGCUCGAGUGGCGAACGGGUGAGUAACACGUGAGUAACCUGCCCUUGACUUUGGGAUAACUUCAGGAAACUGGGGCGAAUACCGGACAGGAGCUCCUGCUGCAUGGUGGGGGUUGGAAAGUUUCGGCGGUCGGGGAUGGACUCGCGGGUGAUCAGCUGGUUGGUGGGGGAGUGGCUUACCAAGGCUUUGACGGGUCGCCGGCCUGUGAGGGUGACCAGCCACCUGGGUCCUGCGGGAGGGCCCAGACGCCUACGGUCGGCAGCGGUGGAGAGUCUUGCGGAGUGGGGCCACGCCUGUGGAGGAAGCGCCGCGUUCGUGAUGACGUGCUGCGGGUGGUAAACCGGUUUCGCAGGUGAUGAAGGUUGAGUGACGGUAAUGGGUAAAGAAGCACCGGCUAACUACGUG
rnacentral:rRNA from 1 species